rnacentral:rRNA from 1 species
AGGAUGAACGCCGGCGGCGUGCCUAAUACAUGCAAGUCGAGCGAAUGGAUUAAGAGCUUGCUCUUAUGAAGUUAGCGGCGGACGGGUGAGUAACACGUGGGUAACCUGCCCAUAAGACUGGGAUAACUCCGGGAAACCGGGGCUAAUACCGGAUAACAUUUUGAACCGCAUGGUUCGAAAUUGAAAGGCGGCUUCGGCUGUCACUUAUGGAUGGACCCGCGUCGCAUUAGCUAGUUGGUGAGGUAACGGCUCACCAAGGCAACGAUGCGUAGCCGACCUGAGAGGGUGAUCGGCCACACUGGGACUGAGACACGGCCCAGACUCCUACGGGAGGCAGCAGUAGGGAAUUUUCCGCAAUGGACGAAAGUCUGACGGAGCAACGCCGCGUGAGUGAUGAAGGCUUUCGGGUCGUAAAACUCUGUUGUUAGGGAAGAACAAGUGCUAGUUGAAUAAGCUGGCACCUUGACGGUACCUAACCAGAAAGCCACGGCUAACUACGUGCCAGCAGCCGCGGUAAUACGUAGGUGGCAAGCGUUAUCCGGAAUUAUUGGGCGUAAAGCGCGCGCAGGUGGUUUCUUAAGUCUGAUGUGAAAGCCCACGGCUCAACCGUGGA